GAGCUCAGUAGUAGAACAUCUGCUUUGCAUGCAGAAGGUCUUAGGUUCAAUUCCUGGCA
rnacentral:tRNA from 1 species